GCAUAUCAAUAAGCGGAGGAAAAGAAACCAACAGGGAUUGCCCUAGUAACGGCGAGUGAAGCGGCAACAGCUCAAAUUUGAAAUCUGGCGUCUUUGGCGUCCGAGUUGUAAUUUGCAGAGGGCGCUUUGGCAUUGGCAGCGGUCCAAGUUCCUUGGAACAGGACGUCACAGAGGGUGAGAAUCCCGUACGUGGUCGCUAGCCUUUACCGUGUAAAGCCCCUUCGACGAGUCGAGUUGUUUGGGAAUGCAGCUCUAAAUGGGAGGUAAAUUUCUUCUAAAGCUAAAUACUGGCCAGAGACCGAUAGCGCACAAGUAGAGUGAUCGAAAGAUGAAAAGCACUUUGGAAAGAGAGUUAAAAAGCACGUGAAAUUGUUGAAAGGGAAGCGCUUGCAGCCAGACUUGCCUGUAGUUGCUCAUCCGGGUUUCUACCCGGUGCACUCUUCUAUAGGCAGGCCAGCAUCAGUUUGGGCGGUUAGAUAAAGGUCUCUGUCAUGUACCUCCUUUCGGGGAGAACUUAUAGGGGAGACGACAUGUAACCAGCCUGGACUGAGGUCCGCGC
rnacentral:rRNA from 1 species